GUUACAAAAUCAUGUUCCUGUUUUCAUUUUACUCAAUCGGAUUGCAACUAAUACAUUUUUUUGUUCAAACUCAUUAUGUUUUCAUGUUUGCAUUUUCCUAUAUUUUUUGCCUUUGUAGAACAGAUACUAUGGAAUUGAGAUGUUUGGUUCUACAUAUAUAGUGUAGGCAUUGAAUAAAAUCAGGUCUGCAUACUUAUUUUUGUGCAAUCAAAGUAGCUGUUAGUGGGUUCCUACUUCCUAGAAUGACAAUGUUGGUUUGGUUGAGAAGGAUCUUGGAAAUCAGAAAGUCUUGCUCUCAGGCAUCAAUCUCGAUGAGGAUGCAAAACCAAGAGGGGACAACUGUGAACAGUGGUCAUUGUUCGUCGGCACUGCUCAAGCAUCAUUGACGUUGGCGCUGGCCUCCUCUGUACAAGGCCAGGGACACCGUUGUAAUAGAGUUGUUGAUAUCGAUGUCGUCCGUGAACUGACUGUCGAGAAGGCCUCCGUGGAUACCUAAGGCAUGCAGCUCCUCAUUACUUUGGUGUACUGACCCCAAGGCCGGUGCUGUUGACCCCAAGGCCGAGAACAAGGUGCUAGAUUGAAGAUGGCGCAGAACAUUGCCAUCUUGCUGCUCGUGCUGAAUGUGAUCAAGAAGAGGUCUGCAACGUGCUCUGUGAUGGUGAAAAAAUCCUCGCUGCACUACUUGCUAGAUUUCAGUCAUUUUGAUUUGCUGCUUACAUGCUGCAUUUUCACGCCCGCAUAGGAUUAGUUUUGCUUGUCAGUUGUGUCUGACCAUCUUCAGCUUAUGACUGGACUACAGGCUACAACCAUGCUUGUUCGUAUAUUUAGUAUAUUUAGCUAUGUUUCUUUUUGGCGAUUUAGUACCCACUAUACCUAUGCCUGUGGAAGUCUAGAUCACCAUCUCUUCAGGAGUAAGCAUCUGGCAUCUGCUACUUUAUUUUAGACAUAUGUUGCCAGCUUCAGAUAUGUUCUUGACAACACUACCAUCUAGAGAAAUGUGAAAAUAUGUUGUUACAUGGGACUAUACAUACCUACUGUAUAUUUAGACCUGACACGAAUCUAAGUAUAUAGGAAAACUGCCAACUAUUUAUUAAAAAUAUAGACUUAUUACAUGGAAGGAUCGGGUGACAAAGGUAUGUGCUUUUCUUUUGGUUGCUAUUGUUCAGUUCUCCAAUCACUUAUCAUCUGUGCUUCUCAUGCAGGCUAUAGAGAAGAUAAAAUCUGCCAGGAAUAAAUCAUCGCAAGGAAGGUGAGUAUCUCUUGGCAUCUUGUACAAACUACAAAGUGCAGGUGAGUAUAUUUGCUUCUUUAAAUUGAUCUUACUGCCCUAAAACUACUAAUUCUCGACUUCAUGUGACCAGACUAGAUUUUUUUUUAAUCCAGUUGCCACCACAUCAGCACCACUGCAACGGAAAGUACCUCCAGAAAAUGUGACCCCAACUUUCAUGAUUAUAUGUUAUUCUUAGCCUUCUCUGUAGUCAUCAAUUCUAGAUAGGGCAUCUCAGUCUAUGCAGGCCAGGUAGCAAUUAGGUCAAUAGAAGCUGUAUCUUACAAGCAUGUCCUCGAGACACAUGGCAGCACUUUUUCAUUUAAAGUCAUAUGUUACUCAUCUAAAUGCACUAUAGGGUUGUUCUUCUGCAUGCCAGUUGUGUUUGAAGAGAUUGUGUAAACAAAACUUAAUUAUUAUGGUUGUUAGUUCUUAGUUCAUGUCUGUACAACUUCCUCCUGUUCUUUAAAGCAUAUAUGUUGCAAAUUUUAAGGCGGUUAUGUUGCUGUUUUGCACUUUGCCCGGUAAUGUGCUUGAUCCAAUGGUCGAGCUCAGUGCUUGUGCAAAGCACACAUGCUGUCCACGGGAAUAGUCACCACAAACGGUUGCAAGUGGAAACCAAAACCUUGUUCGUGGACGGCGGUAAUGUUUCACGUGAUCUUGUUUAUUUGUCUCUGGUCAAGCGC